AAAAACGAAGCAAACGUUUAGUCUAGGACAAAGGUUUGCCGCUGACUGUCAAAACGACAUCGCCGUCGUCUGACUGCCAGACGACGGCGAUGUUAAAUUCCUUGUGUCUCAGAAUCCAUCGUGUGAGGCGUCCUGGAGGGCCCUUUAAGCUUGCCAGCCAGCGCAAGACAUGGUGUCCGCUUACGACACCGAAGGACCUGCCGUAUAGGAGCUAAAUCUAAUCUUAACCCUGGACCUCACAGGAGCUAAAGGACUCUCUCAUGAGCGAACUAUCAGAGGGCCUCCAGACUGUGAUCGUCGGUGAGAGAUGAUGGAAAGAUCUACGCUGGGAGGAAACGGUGGCUCGAAAAGGAGGGCUGGGGCACCUUGUUUCGGGCCUCAAUAUAUUUCCUGUUUUGCCGCAUGGCAACCACUGUCUAGUGGACGCCAGAUCAACUCAGGGGCCGCAACGGGACAGGAACACUGUCAAAUAAGUCCCGGGCAAGGGCGGCGGUGGCGGCGCUGCUGCUGCUGCUGCUGUUGGUGGGGGCGGUGGCGGCGCGGGCGCGUCGUUUACUGUUCACCAUAGUCCAUUCGCCACCUUCCUCGUUCUGAAGAGAUACGGUAUCAGAUGCUGUGCCUGCGUGAACUACAUAUCGCAUGUGGCAAGCGCAGCGUCGCCUUCUUGAAGCAGCGGUGACACAGUUGUCUAUGUUAGGGGCAGGGUGGUCGCCAUACUGAGUCGUUUGGCCCGACAGUGAAGCUCCGAAGCAGCCCGGGACGCGACGCUGACCGUGAAAAUGACCGUUGCCUCAGGGCCCGGCUACGGGCGCCGUUCAAGGCACGCCUGCGGUGUCUGCGAGCGGUCCUUGAGCACGUCUGCACUCGAUGAGUGCGGGUACAGUUGCCAUGUAAAUCGGUAUUCGUGUUUUCAGAACCACCUACGUUCAAUGCUCUUACGUUGUUUGGCGCGCACACUUCUGCCUCAAAAAAUGACAUUUUUCGAAGAAUGCUAAAGUACGAUCACACAGCUCUAUUUUCUCUAGAUUCCUAAUUUUCGAGCAUUACGAAACAAGCCUUGUCCUUUGAGUUGUCAAGUGCAGUCGUUACUAAGAAUUUCCUCUCACUCAACAGAAGGAACAUUAAACACGGCGAGUAAAGCGUUAUUUAGUUCUCCAAACUUCCAACAAGAUUCAGAUUGCAAUGGGGCAACGUAGUCCAUGUGCUGCUCAGUUUACAAUGGGUUCAAGCCAGGACACGGUAGUGGGUGGCAGGUGGUCUUGCCGGGAUCUAACAUCACCGGUAACAAAAACAAAGCUUGUUUAGGUCUAGUUUUUUACAGCGUUACCAACUGCAGCGUGUUGGAUUUGGAUGACAAUUCCACCGCUUUCAACCAGUUGUCGGAUCUUUGGAGAACGAUCCCAGUUGCU